rnacentral:lncRNA from 1 species
AGGGAGCCCGCUCAGGCCUCAGCCAGCACAGAGAGGGGCUCCCACGGUGCAGCUGCGGGCUGAAGGGCUCCUGAAGCGCGGCCAGAGUGGGCUGAGGCCGAGGAGGCGCCGAGAGCCAGCGAGGGGAUGCCAGCAAGCUGUCACCUCUCAGAAAUACAGGAAGAACAUCAAUAAUGUUCGAAGUUAUAAAUUGCGGAGGCCAGAAGUCAGAAAACAAGGUGUCUGCAGGACCAACCUCUCCUCUGGAUGCUCUAGCCCAGGCAGUAAGAAAACAUAUCAGCUUCCACUUUUACCUUUAAGGAGAAGCCAGCUCCCAUGUUAAGAAGUUCAAAUACCUAGAGACUGCGAUGGUUUGCAGAGGCUCAAGCUAACCACAUGGAAAGACAUGGAGAGAUAUUCCUUGCCAACCCUCAACUACUCCAACUAUUCUAAGACAUCAAACCUAAAAACAAACCGCAGGUCACCCACCGGUCUGAAGAGGAGGAUGAGAGACAAAGAAAAAAGUUGUCUGGCUGCCUCUGCUGUCUACAGAUUGAAGAAGAUCCAUCCAGCUGAGCCCAGCCUAGACCAGCUGACUUCUCCAAUAAGCCUGUAUGAAAUAAAUGCUUAUUGUUAUGUGACCUUGAGCUUUGAAGAUAGUUUGUUAUGCAAUAAUU